CCUACAAUCAAUAAUGUGCAAUCACGUGUAAAUGGCACAUGUAACUCAUACGCAAUUGAUUUUAAAAUCGAAAAUUAUGCGUAUAAUUAUGUAAUUUUUAUUCACGAAUGCUUUAUUUAUGAAAAAAAUAAGUUAUAAUUAAUUACAAGUGCCAAGUUUCCUUCUAACAAUUGACGGAUGGAAAACAGUUGAAUUUCUACCAAGUCGUCAGAUAUGCGUCGUGAGAUUAUGUGAUAAGAAUGAAGUCAUUACCGAGGAAAAAUUAGCGAUGCCAUAGAUGGAGAGAUCAUCACCAAAAUCCUGAAAUAAAAUUCAUCGUAUAAAUAGUACAAUCGUAUAAUAGUGGACGAGGCGCUAUACUGUAAUCGCGGAGAAGUAAAUAAAAUUCAGUGGUAUAGUUGUGGAAGUGAGCGAGGAUUUGAUGGAUCCUUGAUGAAUCCUUGAUGGAUCGACCAAUUCAUACUUUAGGAAUGUGAAACAAUCUGUGUCGAAGAUUUGAAUAAGAAUUGCAAAACUGGCCACGUACAAUACUCAUCGCAUAUCCUAAGAAUGGAUACACUUCUACUUGACGCAUGAAAGAAAGUUUGGAGACGGGAAAGGAAGUGGAAGCGUACGGGUGUCUAUAAGUUAGUAUCUAAUUAUCAUAUCUAGCCAAUGAUAGUGAAACUGGAUGGUGUUGUAAGGAAAUUUGAGCUUUUCCAACAGGUAGACAUAAGUAAAUACACUUACAAUUACAAUUAGCCUAGGAAAAUCUUAAUCAAAAUAAGAAUGGAAAAUGACAAACUGAAAUUUAUUUUCUUUCCUUCAAAA